GACGAACGCUGGCGGCGUGCUUAACACAUGCCAGUCGAACGGAAAGGCCCUGCUUGCAGGGUACUCGAGUGGCGAACGGGUGAGUAACACGUGGGUGAUCUGCCCUGCACUUCGGGAUAAGCCUGGGAAACUGGGUCUAAUACCGGAUAGGAGCCAUUUUUAGUGUGAUGGUUGGAAAGUUUUUUCGGUGUAGGAUGAGCUCGCGGCCUAUCAGCUUGUUGGUGGGGUAAUGGCCUACCAAGGCGGCGACGGGUAGCCGGCCUGAGAGGGUGGACGGCCACAUUGGGACUGAGAUACGGCCCAGACUCCUACGGGAGGCAGCAGUGGGGAAUAUUGCACAAUGGGCGCAAGCCUGAUGCAGCGACGCCGCGUGGGGGAUGACGGCCUUCGGGUUGCAAACUCCUUUCGCUAGGGACGAAGCUUUUUGUGACGGUACCUAGAUAAGAAGCACCGGCUAACUACGUG
rnacentral:rRNA from 1 species